GAUGAACGCUGGCGGCGUGCUUAACACAUGCAAGUCGAACGAAGCGCUUGGAUGGAAUUCUUCGGAAGGAAGCUCAAGUGACUGAGUGGCGGACGGGUGAGUAACGCGUGGGUAACCUGCCUCAUACAGGGGGAUAACAGUUAGAAAUGACUGCUAAUACCGCAUAAGCACACGUGAUCGCAUGAUCGAGUGUGAAAAACUCCGGUGGUAUGAGAUGGACCCGCGUCUGAUUAGCUAGUUGGUGGGGUAACGGCCCACCAAGGCGACGAUCAGUAGCCGGCCUGAGAGGGUGAACGGCCACAUUGGGACUGAGACACGGCCCAAACUCCUACGGGAGGCAGCAGUGGGGAAUAUUGCACAAUGGGGGAAACCCUGAUGCAGCGACGCCGCGUGAAGGAUGGAGUAUUUCGGUAUGUAAACUUCUAUCAGCAGGGAAGAAAAUGACGG
rnacentral:rRNA from 1 species